UACGUAGGGGCUAGCGUUAUCCGGAAUUACUGGGCGUAAAGGGUGCGUAGGCGGUCUUUCAAGCCAGAAGUGAAAGGCUACGGCUCAACCGUAGUAAGCUUUUGGAACUGUAAGACUUGAGUGCAGGAGAGGAGAGUGGAAUUCCUAGUGUAGCGGUGAAAUGCGUAGAGAUUAGGAAGAACACCAGUGGCGAAGGCGAUUCUCUGGACUGUAACUGACGCUGAGGCUCGAAAGCGUGGGGAGCAAACAGGAUUAGAUACCCCGGUAGUCCCUGA
rnacentral:rRNA from 1 species